GUAGGUGGCAAGCGUUGUCCGGAAUUAUUGGGCGUAAAGCGCGCGCAGGCGGUCCUUUAAGUCUGAUGUGAAAGCCCACGGCUCAACCGUGGAGGGUCAUUGGAAACUGGGGGACUUGAGUACAGAAGAGGAAAGCGGAAUUCCAAGUGUAGCGGUGAAAUGCGUAGAGAUUUGGAGGAACACCAGUGGCGAAGGCGGCUUUCUGGUCUGUAACUGACGCUGAGGCGCGAAAGCGUGGGGAGCAAACAGGGAUUAGAUACCCUGGUAGUCCACGCCGUAAACGAUGAGUGCUAAGUGUUAGGGGGUUUCCCGCCCCUUAGUGCUGCAGCUAACGCAUUAAGCACUCGCCUGGGGAUACGGCCGCAAGGCUG
rnacentral:rRNA from 1 species